CGGGGUGUGGCGCAGCUUGGUAGCGCGCCUGUUUUGGGAACAGGAGGCCGGAGGUUCGAAUCCUCUCACCCCGACCA
rnacentral:tRNA from 1 species